AUUGAACGCUGGCGGCAGGCCUAACACAUGCAAGUCGAACGGUAACAGGAAGAAGCUUGCUUCUUUGCUGACGAGUGGCGGACGGGUGAGUAAUGUCUGGGAAACUGCCUGAUGGAGGGGGAUAACUACUGGAAACGGUAGCUAAUACCGCAUAACGUCGCAAGACCAAAGAGGGGGACCUUCGGGCCUCUUGCCAUCGGAUGUGCCCAGAUGGGAUUAGCUAGUAGGUGGGGUAACGGCUCACCUAGGCGACGAUCCCUAGCUGGUCUGAGAGGAUGACCAGCCACACUGGAACUGAGACACGGUCCAGACUCCUACGGGAGGCAGCAGUGGGGAAUAUUGCACAAGGGGCGCAAGCCUGAUGCAGCCAUGCCGCGUGUAUGAAGAAGGCCUUCGGGUUGUAAAGUACUUUCAGCGGGGAGGAAGGGAGUAAAGUUAAGACCUUUGCUCAUUGACGUUACCCGCAGAAGAAGCACCGGCUAACUCCGU
rnacentral:rRNA from 1 species